UAGGGAAUCUUCGGCAAUGGACGAAAGUCUGACCGAGCAACGCCGCGUGAGUGAAGAAGGCUUUCGGAUCGUAAAACUCUGUUGUUAGAGAAGAACAAGGACGUUAGUAACUGAACGUCCCCUGACGGUAUCUAACCAGAAAGCCACGGCUAACUACGUGCCAGCAGCCGCGGUAAUACGUAGGUGGCAAGCGUUGUCCGGAUUUAUUGGGCGUAAAGCGAGCGCAGGCGGUUUCUUAAGUCUGAUGUGAAAGCCCCCGGCUCAACCGGGGAGGGUCAUUGGAAACUGGGGGACUUGAGUGCAGAAGAGGAGAGUGGAAUUCCAUGUGUAGCGGUGAAAUGCGUAGAUAUAUGGAGGAACACCAGUGGCGAAGGCGGCUCUCUGGUCUGUAACUGACGCUGAGGCACGAAAGCGUGGGGAGCAAACAGG
rnacentral:rRNA from 1 species